rnacentral:rRNA from 1 species
UUUAUUACUUGUCUAAAAAAUUAAUGAUUAAUUUUUAUAAGAAAAAUAAUUUUUACUUUAUUUAAAUUAAGUAAAUUUUAAUGAAAUAAUGUGUAUAUAGACUAUAGAGAAAAGUACUGUAAAGGAAAGUUUUUAUAAUUAAAAUUUUUAUAGUAAAAAUAAAAGUUUGUACCUUGUGUAUCAGGGAAAAUUUAUAUAAACUAUUUAAUUAUAGUUGUCUCGAAAUAAAAACAGUUAAUUUUAUAAAAAAUUUUUUGUAAAAAAUAAAUUUUUAAUAUAAAGUUAAAGAUGAAACAUCAGUCGAGUUUUAUUAUAUCUAGUUUUUUAAAAAAUAAAUUAAAUUUAUUUUUUAUGUGAAUUAUAUAUAAGAAUAAAAUAUAGGAGGGAUUAGCUUCUUAUAAUAUAAAAAUAAAAAGUUAUUUUAAGUUUUAAUAUUUAAAUUAGUCUUAAAAGUAGACAUAUUUAUAAAGUGUUUUAACUAAAUUUUUCAUGUUAUAUUAUUUAUAAUAACUUUUUGAAGUAUUAAAAAACUGAUUUUAAUAAAAAAAAUCUUGGUAUAAUAAUUUUAUUAGUAAAAUUUUAUGUUAAUCUAAAAAAGUAAAAUAGCUAUUUAUUUUAUAGAAAAUAUGUGAUAAUAUAUAGGAACUCGGCAAAAAAUUUUUUUGCCUGUUUAUCAAAAACAUGUCUGUUUGUAGAUAUAAAAAGUCUAGCCUGCUCACUGAUAAAAUUUUUAAGAGCCGCGGUAUUUCUGACUGUGCAAAGGUAGCAUAAUCGUUAGUUUUUUAAUUGAAAUCUUGUAUGAAUGGUUUGACAAAAAAAAGACUGUCUUUAUGAUUAUUAAUUGAAUUUAACUUUUAAGUGAAAAGGCUUAAAUAAAUUAAAAAGACGAUAAGACCCUAUAAAGCUUAAUAAAAAUUUUUUAUUUAAUAAAAUUUUUUAUAAAUAUAAAUGUUUGGUAAAUAAUUUUAUUUUAUUGGGGUGAUAAUGGUAAAAUGAUUAUUAACUGUUAAUUAAAUUAAGACAAAAAUAAAUGAAUUAUAAAUUUUAUUUAAUAAAUGAUCCUGUUUAAAGAUUAAGAGUUUAAGUUACUUUAGGGAUAACAGCGUUAUUUUUUUUGAGAGUUCUUAUCGAGAAAAAAGUUUGCGACCUCGAUGUUGAAUUAAAAUAUCUGUAUAAUUGUAGCAGUUAUAUGAGAAGGUCUGUUCGACCUUUAAAUUUUUACAUGAUUUGAGUUCAAACCGGUGUAAGCCAGGUUGGUUUCUAUCUUUUAAUAAUGAGAAAAUUAUUUUAGUACGAAAGGAUUAAAUAAUUAAAAUUAUUUUUAAUGUUGG